rnacentral:misc_RNA from 1 species
CGGAAGUAAAGUCGUAACAAGGUUCCGUAGGUGAACCUGCGGAAGGAUCAUUAAUAAUGGUCUACGUUUUUUAAGUAGACGCUUAAUAAUCCUACCCUUUGUGAAUUUGUUGUUUUGAAAUAAUUUUUUUUAAAAUUAUUGAUUGUCUUCCCUGUUGAAUUGUGUCUAAUGGCAAAUGAUUCGCAGGGAGUGUCAGUAAUUUUAAAAAGACCUUUUUUAAAAUUAAACUUUUUUGUAUUCAUUUGUCUAAAAUAUUUUUAUAAUAUAAAAACAACUUUGACAAUGGAUCUCUUGGUCCUCGCAACGAUGAAGACGCAGCAAAAUGCGAUAAGUAGUGUGAAUGCAGAAUACGUGAAUCAUCGAUCUUCGAACGCAUAUUGCACUUUUUAGUUUACUAAAAAAGUAUGUCUGUUGAGUAUCAGUAAAAUAUUCUCAUAAAACUUUUUGUUUUAUGGUUAUGAGUGUUUUACAACGAUACAAGUUGUUUCACUUUAAAUUUUUUUUAAAAUUUGAAUUUUUCUAAUUUAAAAUAAAAUUGGAUAAAUUUCCCGUAAAAAGGAUUAACCUAAACAUUUUAAUUUUUGAUUAGAAUUCUUCAAUUAUAAAGGAAAAUUUAACUAAAUAACUUGAUCUCAAUCAGAUAAGAGUACCCGCUGAACUUAAGCAUAUCAAUAAGCGGAGGAAAGAAACUAACAAGGAUUCCCUUAGUAACGGCGAGUGAAGCGGGAAGAGCUCAAAUUGAAAUCUUCAAGGUUUACCUUGACGAAUGUAGUUUAAAGAAGUGUUUUCUGUUGAAGUUUUGGUAAAAGUUCUUUGGAAUAGGACAUCAUAGAGGGUGAGAAUCCCGUAUUGACCAUUAUUUUCAGCUGUGUGAUACACUUCAAAGAGUCGGAUUGUUUGGGAAUGCAGUCCAAAAUGGGUGGUAAAUUUCAUCUAAAGCUAAAUAUUGGCGAGAGACCGAUAGCGAACAAGUACCGUGAGGAAAGAUGAAAAGAACUUUGAAAAGAGUUAACAGUACGUGAAUUGUCAAAAGGGAAGCGUUUGACACCAGUGUUGUUUCUCGAAAAUCAAUUAAAAAAGUUGGAUUUUGUGUUGUAUUGACUUAACAGCUUGCUUCACUCUUUUCUUGCUUUUUUAAUGCACUUUUCGUUAACAAGUCAACAUCAGCUUCUUUGUUGUAAAGGUCAUUGGAAGGUGGCUUUCUCUUCGGAGAAAGUGUUAUAGCCUUUGAUCUCUGCAAUCGGAGAGACUGAGGUCUGCAGCGUAGAUCCUUCGGGUUAGAUACAUUUGUGCUAAGCUACAGCUUUCAUAGACAACUUGUUGACUAUGUUUAGUCUUGUAACUUACCCGCUUAUGCUAUUUACCUACGCUUAGGAUGUUG